CUUGCUCACCACUGCUGAGAAGGAAAGCCUGUGGUGUUCCUUUCUGCGCACAUUGGGAAGUUCUCUAGCCAUGCCAUGCCACCUCUGCUAAGGCACCUUCUCUCCCUUCAAGUUGCCAUAGAGUUAUUAUGAAAACAAACUCAUUCUUCAGAACCUUUAUUGAUGGAUUAAUUCCUUAUGAAUUCAACAACCAUGUGACAUCUAUGAUAGCUUGGCAGUUGUAGCAGCCCAGAGAGUUGAAAAUAAUUUCCUGAAAAGACAGGAAAUAAAUGUGUUGAACUGAAUGGCCUGUAAAAAUUCCCUUACAACUACUUGACUUCGCUGUUGUGAUAUGUAGUCACAUACUAUAUGCAAGAAGGAACAUGGUUGUGUAUCAAUAAAACUCUAUUUUCCAAAA